GUACCGUAUUGCGUUAAACGCGACAAACAUUCCAUGAGACUUUAUAACUGUGUGUGUGUAAAAUAAGCAGAACCACAGUGGGAGGACGGGGUCCCCCACACCACAGAACUACAGAGGGUGCACAGGUGUGAAUGGGUGUGUAAACAGAGUGUGCACAUGCCCCCAUUUUGAGGACCAGCAACAACUCGUGUUGACAGUUCAGUAAUGAUCCUUCCGCAGGUUCACCUACGGAAA
rnacentral:misc_RNA from 1 species